GGAGGAUAAGCGAAUGGUGAGCGGCCUCACUGGAACUGAGGUACCCCGCAAGGGGCUGCGAGUUCGAGUCUCGUGUCCUCCGC
rnacentral:tRNA from 1 species